rnacentral:ncRNA from 1 species
GGCGCCGCCUUUCGCGGCGCCGGGUAAAAGGGAAACAGGUGAAAGACCUGUGCGAUCUCGUCACUGUGAGCGGGGAGCAGACGGCCAUUUACGUCACUGGUCCAGAAGGACCGGGAAGGCGGCCGGUCGCGUGGAUCCGCAAGCCAGGAAACCUGCCGGAUGUU